rnacentral:rRNA from 1 species
GACGAACGCUGGCGGCGUGCUUAACACAUGCAAGUCGAACGGAAAGGCUCCAGCUUGCUGGAGUACUCGAGUGGCGAACGGGUGAGUAACACGUGGGUAAUCUGCCCUGCACUCUGGGAUAAGCCUGGGAAACUGGGUCUAAUACUGGAUAUGACCUUUCUCCUUAUGGGGUUUGGUGGAAAGUUUUUCGGUGUAGGAUGAGCCCGCGGCCUAUCAGCUUGUUGGUGGGGAGAUGGCCUACCAAGGCGACGACGGGUAGCCGGCCUGAGAGGGUGAUCGGCCACAUUGGGACUGAGAUACGGCCCAGACUCCUACGGGAGGCAGCAGUGGGGAAUAUUGCACAAUGGGCGGAAGCCUGAUGCAGCGACGCCGCGUGAGGGAUGACGGCCUUCGGGUUGUAAACCUCUUUCAGCAGGGACGAAGCGUAAGUGACGGUACCUGCAGAAGAAGCACCGGCUAACUAUGUG